AAAAUGCUUGCGCCAGGAAUCGAAGCAGGUAACUGAAAAAAUGAAAAAAUAAAACUCAAAAACGUGACCGCCAGGGAUCGAAGCGAGUAUCACAGAUCAAACAAUGUUCUGGGCGCGUUCUUCAGGUAGAACCCUAGCGCACCAGGAGCUAUGAAGAUCUUCAUCUUCUUCAUGAAGAUGAAGAUGAACACCAUGAAUGU
rnacentral:lncRNA from 1 species